AGAGGCUGGAGCCAGAAGGAGCGUUCUUGCUGCCGGGGGAUCCAGGAGAGGUGCACCUGUUUAGAAAGGGGUGUGCCACACCUGCCCUGAGCAUCUUAUUGCUUGGCCCGGAAGCCUUCAAUUGCCUUCCAGAUAAAGUCCAGACUUCUGAGUACGACCUUCAAGGCUCUGUAUGACCUGGUGCAACUGCUCUGAUGCUCUCCUUCCUCUAGGCCGGCCUCCCUUCCGGCUGGUGGAGCUGCUCUCUAGCUCCCAGGCUUGUCCUGGAGGGCUGGAUGUUGGCAAGGCUCCCUAGUCUCAGCUGCUGUCCCUGCAGGAUGCUCUGCCUGUGUGGGACCUGGAACCAGAGAGAGAGAGACACAAGCGUUUGCUCUAAGACUAGCCUGGGAAGAGCUUGGUGUCCAUGGGACCCGGGACCCAUGCUAUGCUCUCUCUCAGCAAGGGGUCCUCUGCUGUUAGUCAUCUCCUCCUCCAUGUAACAUUCUUUUCAGCCAGUCCCCUAGGCAAUAAAGUCAAGGUUUUACUGUCAGGGAGAGCAUGAAUUUCUCACAUCGACCAAGUGAGAUUUGAGAAGGAACAGAAUGCUGGUUGGGAGCAUGGGUCCGAGUGUAGACACUUCUGGAGGGAAUUAACAGCAAGGCCAAGUGAAGGACCCCUUCCCCCACCCCCAACCUGAUCCAUCUUUGCUCAUCGGAGAGACCCAGCUGCAGACAUUAAAGACAGCACCUGCCCCUUCUCUGAUUUAAAAUUUUCCAAUAGUUCCAUAAAAUCAA